rnacentral:rRNA from 1 species
AUUGAACGCUGGCGGCAGGCCUAACACAUGCAAGUCGAGCGAGCGGCGGACGGGUGAGUAAUGUCUGGGGAUCUGCCCGAUGGAGGGGGAUAACUACUGGAAACGGUAGCUAAUACCGCAUACCAUCAGAUGUGCCCAGAUGGGAUUAGCUAGUAGGUGGGGUAACGGCUCACCUAGGCGACGAUCCCUAGCUGGUCUGAGAGGAUGAUCAGCCACACUGGAACUGAGACACGGUCCAGACUCCUACGGGAGGCAGCAGUGGGGAAUAUUGCACAAUGGGCGCAAGCCUGAUGCAGCCAUGCCGCGUGUAUGAAGAAGGCCCUCGGGUUGUAAAGCACUUUCAGCGGGGAGGCGUUACCGGCAGAAGAAGCACCGGCUAACUCCGUGCCAGCAGCCGCGGUAAUUC